rnacentral:rRNA from 1 species
AACGAACGCUGGCGGCAUGCCUAACACAUGCAAGUCGAACGAGACCUUCGGGUCUCGUGGCGCACGGGUGCGUUACGCGUGGGAACCUGCCCUUAGGGUCGGAAUAACUCCCCGAAAGGGGUGCUAAUACCGGGUAAUGUCUUCGGACCAAAGAUUUAUCGCCUUUGGAUGGGCCCGCGUUGGAUUAGCUAGUUGGUAGGGUAAAAGCCUACCAAGGCGACGAUCCAUAGCUGGUCUGAGAGGAUGAUCAGCCACACUGGGACUGAGACACGGCCCAGACUCCUACGGGAGGCAGCAGUGGGGAAUAUUGGACAAUGGGCGAAAGCCUGAUCCAGCAAUGCCGCGUGAGUGAUGAAGGCCUUAGGGUUGUAAAGCUCUUUUAUCCGGGAUGAUAAUGACAGUACCGGGAGAAUAAGCCCCGGCUAACUCCGUG